rnacentral:rRNA from 1 species
AACGAACGCUGGCGGCAUGCCUAACACAUGCAAGUCGAACGAGACCUUCGGGUCUAGUGGCGCACGGGUGCGUAACGCGUGGGAACCUGCUCUUAGGUUCGGAAUAACUCCCCGAAAGGGGUGCUAAUACCGGAUAAUGUCUUCGGACCAAAGAUUUAUCGCCUUUGGAUGGGCCCGCGUUGGAUUAGCUAGUUGGUAGGGUAAAAGCCUACCAAGGCGACGAUCCAUAGCUGGUCUGAGAGGAUGAUCAGCCACACUGGGACUGAGACACGGCCCAGACUCCUACGGGAGGCAGCAGUGGGGAAUAUUGGACAAUGGGCGAAAGCCUGAUCCAGCAAUGCCGCGUGAGUGAUGAAGGCCUUAGGGUUGUAAAGCUCUUUUACCCGGGAUGAUAAUGACAGUACCGGGAGAAUAAGCUCCGGCUAACUCCGUG